UGAACUUGGCAGGGAAACCCAAUGUAAUAAGAAUUUGCUUCAAGAAUCCCCAUUCUAAAGUAUCAUAUGCCUUCCUUAGAUCCACUUUAAGAACACAUCUAGGUGAAACCCCUUUUCUAGUGUAUCCUUUGAAUAUUUCAUGACUCAGCAAAAUAUUAUCCAUAAUGCUUCUUCCCUCAAUGAAAGCAGAUUGGGCAGGACCAAUCAAUUCUCCAA
rnacentral:lncRNA from 1 species